CACUCCUACGGGAGGCAGCAGUGGGGAAUAUUGGACAAUGGGCGCAAGCCUGAUCCAGCCAUGCCGCGUGAGUGAUGAAGGCCCUAGGGUUGUAAAGCUCUUUCACCGGAGAAGAUAAUGACGGUAUCCGGAGAAGAAGCCCCGGCUAACUUCGUGCCAGCAGCCGCGGUAAUACGAAGGGGGCUAGCGUUGUUCGGAAUUACUGGGCGUAAAGCGCACGUAGGCGGAUCGAUCAGUCAGGGGUGAAAUCCCAGGGCUCAACCCUGGAACUGCCUUUGAUACUGUCGAUCUGGAGUAUGGAAGAGGUGAGUGGAAUUCCGAGUGUAGAGGUGAAAUUCGUAGAUAUUCGGAGGAACACCAGUGGCGAAGGCGGCUCACUGGUCCAUUACUGACGCUGAGGUGCGAAAGCGUGGGGAGCAAACAGGAUUAGAAACCCUUGUAGUCCC
rnacentral:rRNA from 1 species